CUAAAUAAAAUGACAUUGAACGACUGAUCAACAUUCAACAUAUUAAAUUCUUUGCGCAAUGCACCUGCAACAUGCACUAAUUUAAGCCAUUUUUGAGCUAUUUAUAGACAUUUAAAUUUUGGGAGUUUCAUCAUAAAAUAAAGGAGUAAACACUGUAGUCUCAUUCUGAAUCUGACAAUUCGUUGAGAAAACGAAUAAUCCACAGCAAGACAGUACAAUGGAAGAAGAAAAGAAAAAUAUAAACCGUGCAUUCUAUGGCUUUAGCAACAAUAUGGUAUAACAAGUUGGGAAGUAUUUGGACAUUGGUUUGGAGCUCGAGGUACAUCCUCAGGAUUCCUAAAUUCAUUCUUCCAUUCGUAUAACCUUGCUACUGAUUACUUUCUUAAAAUAUGACGGUCCAUUUUAAAAUACUCCCUAUACAUGUUUAAUUACCAUUUGUAUUUGUAGCUACAAGUUUGGUUUUCUUUGUUUUAUCAUUAUGUAAUCUAGUAUAUUAUUAUAGUUUAAAUUAUAAACACUAGAUAAUUAUUAGCGUUUAUCCAUUUAUAAUGUAAAUUUAGUAUUGUGUAUUUGUUUUGUAUAUUUAAAAUUUGUACUAUGUAUUUGUAUAUUGAUUAAUGCUAUCUAGUGGCAACCCACUUGGUGGAUAGCUCGCUUUUAAAUAAAAGUUUUUUCUCUUAUAAUUUGUAUUUGGAAGAUACUGUGUGGUGAAAUUGUUUGGCUUAACAGAAAAUUUAACCAGAGGUUCAUUAAAAGUCUUAUAUUAUUGUAAAACAUAUUUUAAUAUCAAAUUUUGAUUGUUCAAGUUAGAAUAAAAAAUUUUGUGGAACAAAUCUAAUUUUACGAUUUUGUGAUUUGGACAUAUGUAUAUUGCAGAUUUAAGAACGAUGAUGAAGUCAGAAUUGAGCAGACUGAGUUUCGAAAUUAUACCUUUUUGAAGUUAUGAUAUUAUGUUAUGUUAAAUAAUUCUAUAUUGUCUUUUUUAAAGAAUGAUGAUUCUGAGUAGAGUUCAGUUGAUAGUGUUGCUUUUUAAAAAUAUAUAUCCAUACCAUAUUAUACAAAAAAUAAUAACUUAAUAUGCAUUAAAUAUUUUCUUCUUUAAAAAUAUUUGCUUAAUAUUGUAGGUACCUAUUUUUCUGGUUUUUCCCUUUUAUUAGGAAAACUCCAGGGAAUAUCAAAAAAUGACAUUUAAGUACUAAAUCAAAUUUAAAAAAUAAAGAAUAAGUCAAAUUUCUUUUUUAAAGGUGUUAAACUUGAAAAUCAGACCAAAAUUCCAGGAAGUUGUUCAGGAAAAAAAAAAUAGACAUCAUUGUAAAACCAAUACAUUCCACCCUUUGCUUUGAAUCUAAAAUAUGUAUACAUAGCAAUUAUUUUAUAAUUAUUGUAAAUAUCUAGACAGG